rnacentral:rRNA from 1 species
CUACGUGCCAGCAGCCGCGGUAAUACGUAGGGCGCAAGCGUUGUCCGGAAUUAUUGGGCGUAAAGAGCUCGUAGGCGGCUGGUCGCGUCUGUCGUGAAAACUUCCGGCUCAACCGGGGGCUUGCGGUGGGUACGGGCCGGCUAGAGUGCGGUAGGGGUAACUGGAACUCCUGGUGUAGCGGUGGAAUGCGCAGAUAUCAGGAAGAACACCGAUGGCGAAGGCAGGUUACUGGGCCGUUACUGACGCUGAGGAGCGAAAGCGUGGGGAGCGAACAGGAUUAGAUACCCUGGUAGUCCACGCUGUAAACGUUGGGCACUAGGUGUGAGGCUCCUUUCCGGGGGUUUUGCGCCGUAGCUAACGCAUUAAGUGCCCCGCCUGGGGAGUACGGCCGCAAGGCUAAAACUCAAAGGAAUUGACGGGGGCCCGCACAAGCGGCGGAGCAUGCGGAUUAAUUCGAUGCAACGCGAAGAACCUUACCAAGGCUUGACAUGUUAACUGUGGCUCUAGAGAUAGG